rnacentral:rRNA from 1 species
AACGAACGCUGGCGGCAUGCCUAACACAUGCCAGUCGAACGAGACCUUCGGGUCUAGUGGCGCACGGGUGCGUAACGCGUGGGAACCUGCCCUUAGGUUCGGAAUAACUCCCCGAAAGGGGUGCUAAUACCGGAUAAUGUCUUCGGACCAAAGAUUUAUCGCCUUUGGAUGGGCCCGCGUUGGAUUAGCUAGUUGGUAGGGUAAAAGCCUACCAAGGCGACGAUCCAUAGCUGGUCUGAGAGGAUGAUCAGCCACACUGGGACUGAGACACGGCCCAGACUCCUACGGGAGGCAGCAGUGGGGAAUAUUGGACAAUGGGCGAAAGCCUGAUCCAGCAAUGCCGCGUGAGUGAUGAAUGCCUUAGGGUUGUAAAGCUCUUUUACCCGGGAUGAUAAUGACAGUACCGGGAGAAUAAGCUCCGGCUAACUCCGUG